rnacentral:rRNA from 1 species
UACAGAGGUCCCAAGCGUUGUUCGGAUUCACUGGGCGUAAAGGGUGCGUAGGCGGUCGGGUAAGUCUGAUGUGAAAUCUCACAGCUUAACUGUGAAACUGCAUUGGAUACUAUCCGGCUCGAGGAAUGGAGGGGAGACUGGAAUACUUGGUGUAGCAGUGAAAUGCGUAGAUAUCAAGUGGAACACCAGUGGCGAACGCGAGUCUCUGGACAUUUCCUGACGCUGAGGCACGAAAGCCAGGGGAGCAAACGGG